CUAUACAUGACUCUGCGCAUAUCAAUAAGCGGAGGAAAAGAAACUAACAAGGAUUCCCCUAGUAACGGCGAGUGAAGCGGGAAGAGCUCAAAUUUGAAAUCUUAAAGGUUUCCCUUGACGGAUUGUAGUUUAUAGAAGUGUUUUCUGUUGGAGUUUCGGUAAAAGUUCUUUGGAAUAGGACAUCAUAGAGGGUGAGAAUCCCGUAUUUGACCGUUACUUUCCUAGCUUUGUGAUACACUUUCAAAGAGUCGGAUUGUUUGGGAAUGCAGUCCAAAAUGGGUAGGUAAAUUUCAUCUAAAGCUAAAUAUUGGCGAGAGACCGAUAGCGAACAAGUACCGUGAGGGAAAGAUGAAAAGAACUUUGAAAAGAGAGUUAAACAGUACGUGAAAUUGUCAAAAGGGAAGCGUUUGACACCAGUGUUGUUUAGUUCGAAAAUCAAUUUAAGAAUGUUUUGAUUUUGAGUAAGUAUUGACUUUAUCAGGCUUGCUGCUUCUUCUACGAAAAUUAUUGAAUGCACUUUUCAGGUUAACAAGUCAACAUCAAUUUCUUUUGUUGUAAAAGGGUAAGAGGAAGGUGGCUUGCUCUUCGGCGCAAGUGUUUAUAGCCUUGUACCUCUGCAAUCGGAGAGAUUGAGGUCUGCAGCGUAGAUCCUUCGGGGUUAGAUACAUUUGUGCUAAGCUAUAGCCUUUCAUAGACAACUUGUUGACUAUGGUCAGUCAUGUAGCUUACUCGCUUAUGUCUAUUUUACCUACGCUUAGGAUGUUGAUAGUCACAGCGUGUAC
rnacentral:rRNA from 1 species